rnacentral:rRNA from 1 species
AAAACUCACCAGGUCAGGACACGGUAAGGAUUGACGGACUGAAGGCUCUUUCUCGAUUCCGUGGAAAGUGGUGCAUGGCCGUUUUUGGUUGGUGGAUCGAUCCGUCUGGUUAAUUCCGUUAACGAACGAGACCUCGGCACUCCGAAUAGCGCGGCGGACGUCGCGGCCUCCGGGCCGUCUUCCGCACGAGCUUCUUAGAGGGACCGUCCCCCGCCGGGGAAGGAGGUGCGAGGCAACGACAGGUCUGUGAUGCCCUUAGAUGUUCUGGGCCGCACGCGCAUUACACUGACGCGUCCAACGGGUGACUCCCGACCCGAAGGGGCCGGGGAAUCCGCAAGGCGCGUCGUGAUGGGGAUUGAACGUUGCAAUUGUUGUUCACGAACGAGGAAUUCCUAGUAGGCGCGGGUCAUCAACCCCGCGCCGAUUACGUCCCUGCCCUUUGUACACACCGCCCG